rnacentral:rRNA from 1 species
GACGAACGCUGGCGGCGUGCCUAAUACAUGCCAGUAGAACGCACAGUUUAUACCGUAGCUUGCUACACCAUAGACUGUGAGUUGCGAACGGGUGAGUAACGCGUAGGUAACCUGCCUGGUAGCGGGGGAUAACUAUUGGAAACGAUAGCUAAUACCGCAUAAUAUUGAUUAUUGCAUGAUAAUUAAUUGAAAGGUGCAAUUGCACCACUACCAGAUGGACCUGCGUUGUAUUAGCUAGUAGGUGAGGUAACGGCUCACCUAGGCGACGAUACAUAGCCGACCUGAGAGGGUGAUCGGCCACACUGGGACUGAGACACGGCCCAGACUCCUACGGGAGGCAGCAGUAGGGAAUCUUCGGCAAUGGACGAAAGUCUGACCGAGCAACGCCGCGGGAGUGAAGAAGGGUUUCGGAUCGUAAAGCUCUGUUGUAAGAGAAGAACGGGUGUGAGAGUGGAAAGUUCACACUGUGACGGUAUCUUACCAGAAAGGGACGGCUAACUACGUG